ACGGAUGCAAAUUGAGCAGCGCAUUAUGAAAAAUCACGAACCGUGACGAGAAAAACAGUAUAAAACGCUGCACAGUCGUCCGGCCCGUUCGAGAGUCAAGUUCUAUCCGACUAUUAUCUACGUUCGGUAAAUCUUGUGACGAGAAGAAAUAUGAGGCUACUCGCGCUCUUGUUGACGAUCUUAAUCAUCACAGCAGCCGCGCUGGCGAUAAAGCCGCUCGGAGAAGCCUGGAACGAUCUUCCGAAUGCCGCGCCAGCGAGUAAGGAACGGAGCAGCGUAAAAUAGUGAAUCGGCGCAACAGCAGUAAACCGAAGCCACAUUGUAAAAAUUUCGAAUUAAUCUAAAUAAAAAAUACAGCCAACCUAUAAAA